rnacentral:rRNA from 1 species
UACGUAGGGUGCAAGCGUUAAUCGGAAUUACUGGGCGUAAAGCGUGCGCAGGCGGUUUUGUAAGUCUGUCGUGAAAUCCCCGGGCUCAACCUGGGAACUGCAUUUGUGACUGCAUAGCUAGAGUACGGUAGAGGGGGAUGGAAUUCCGCGUGUAGCAGUGAAAUGCGUAGAUAUGCGGAGGAACACCGAUGGCGAAGGCAAUCCCCUGGACCUGUACUGACGCUCAUGCACGAAAGGCGUGGGGAGCAAACGAGG